rnacentral:rRNA from 1 species
GCCCCGGUAAACGGCGGCCGUAACUAUAACGGUCCUAAGGUAGCGAAAUUCCUUGUCGGGUAAGUUCCGACCUGCACGAAUGGCGUAAUGAUGGCCAGGCUGUCUCCACCCGAGACUCAGUGAAAUUGAACUCGCUGUGAAGAUGCAGUGUACCCGCGGCAAGACGGAAAGACCCCGUGAACCUUUACUAUAGCUUGACACUGAACACUGGUCCUUGAUGUGUAGGAUAGGUGGGAGGCUUUGAAGCGUGGACGCCAGUCUGCGUGGAGCCGACCUUGAAAUACCACCCUUUAAUGGCUGGUGUUCUAACGUAGACCCGUAAUCCGGGUUGCGGACAGUGUCUGGUGGGUAGUUUGACUGGGGCGGUCUCCUCCCAAAGAGUAACGGAGGAGCACGAAGGUUAGCUAAUCCUGGUCGGACAUCAGGAGGUUAGUGCAAUGGCAUAAGCUAGCUUGACUGCGAGAGUGACGGCUCGAGCAGGUGCGAAAGCAGGUCAUAGUGAUCCGGUGGUUCUGAAUGGAAGGGCCAUCGCUCAACGGAUAAAAGGUACUCCGGGGAUAACAGGCUGAUACCGCCCAAGAGUUCAUAUCGACGGCGGUGUUUGGCACCUCGAUGUCGGCUCAUCACAUCCUGGGGCUGAAGUAGGUCCCAAGGGUAUGGCUGUUCGCCAUUUAAAGUGGUACGCGAGCUGGGUUUAGAACGUCGUGAGACAGUUCGGUCCCUAUCUGCCGUGGGCGCUGGAGAAUUGAGGGGGGCUGCUCCUAGUACGAGAGGACCGGAGUGGACGCAUCACUGGUGUUCGGGUUGUCAUGCCAAUGGCACUGCCCGGUAGCUAAAUGCGGAAGAGAUAAGUGCUGAAAGCAUCUAAGCACGAAACUUGCCCCG